CCAGACUCCUACGGGAGGCAGCAGUGAGGAAUAUUGGUCAAUGGCCGAAGGGCUGAACCAGCCAAGCCGCGUGAAGGAAUAAGGCCCUACGGGUCGUAAACUUCUUUAGUCAGGGAACAAAGGGUGCCACGCGUGGCGCUGUGAGUGUACCUGAAGAAUAAGCAUCGGCUAACUCCGUGCCAGCAGCCGCGGUAAUACGGAGGAUGCGAGCGUUAUCCGGAUUUAUUGGGUUUAAAGGGUGCGUAGGCGGACUGUUAAGUCAGGGGAAAACGCCGGGGCCCCACCCCGGGCGAGCCGUUGAAACUGGCUGUCUUGAGAUGUCGAGAGGUAUGCGGAAUGCGCAGUGUAGCGGUGAAAUGCUUAGAUAUUGCGCAGAACUCCGAUUGCGAAGGCAGCAUACCGGCGGCGAUCUGACGCUGAGGCACGAAAGCGUGGGUAUCGAACAGGAUUAGAUACCCGGGUAUA
rnacentral:rRNA from 1 species